rnacentral:rRNA from 1 species
CAGCAGCCGCGGUAAGACGAGGGAUCCUAGCGUUGUUCGGAAUCAUUGGGCGUAAAGAGUAUGUAGGCGGCUUGGUAAGUCAGUUGUGAAAUCCCCGGGCUUAACCCGGGAAGUGCAAUUGAUACUGCUAAGCUUGAAUUUGGAAGAGGGUAGUGGAAUUCCUGGUGUAGCGGUGAAAUGCGUAGAGAUCUGGAGGAAUACCGGUGGCGAAGGCGGCCCCCUGGACGAAGACUGACGCUCAGGUACGAAAGCGUGGGGAGCAAACAGGAUUAGAUACCCCCGUAGUCCCUGUCUCUUAUAC